GACGUAGGAGGCGAGCGUUGUCCGGAUUCCUUGGGCGUAAAGAGCGCGCAGGCGGCUUGGUAAGUCGGAUGUGAAAUCCCGAGGCUCAACCUCGGGUCUGCAUCCGAUACUGCCCGGCUAGAGGUAGGUAGGGGAGAUCGGAAUUCCUGGUGUAGCGGUGAAAUGCGCAGAUAUCAGGAGGAACACCGGUGGCGAAGGCGGAUCUCUGGGCCUGUACUGACGCUGAGGAACGAAAGCGUGGGGAGCGAACAGG
rnacentral:rRNA from 1 species